ACGCAAAUGUGGUCUCGUUUGAC
rnacentral:siRNA from 1 species